rnacentral:rRNA from 1 species
UACGUAGGGGGCAAGCGUUGUCCGGAUUUAUUGGGCGUAAAGAGCGUGUAGGCGGCCAGAUAGGUCCGUUGUGAAAACUGGAGGCUUAACCUCCAGCGGUCGAUGGAAACCAUUUGGCUAGAGUCCGGAAGAGGAGAGUGGAAUUCCAGGUGGAGUGGUGAAAUGCGUAGAUAUCUGGAGGAACACCAAAGGCGAAGGCAGUGUCCUGGGGAGCAUCUGACGCUCAGGUGCGAAAGCUAGGGGAGCGAACGGGAUUAGAAACCCGAGUACGUCCAACGAAGCAUCUCUGCUACGAU